rnacentral:lncRNA from 1 species
CGAGUUGACGGCUUGGGGCCACAUCGUGGGAUGGGAGAGUGGCUGUGAUGGCAGUGAUGAGUCAUGAGCUUAUGGUCGGGAGUCCAGACCCUGUCCCUUGAUUAGCUGUGUGACCUUUCAUAUGUCACAUAAUCCCUGUGGGGGUUGGGCUUCACAGCCAUUAAAUGGGUUUAAUACCCAGGAACCUGACUACCUUGAGGUGGUCAUAGGUCAGGCCUGCAGCUCCAGACUUGGGGUGUUCUGCUUGGGCAGCCACCAGGGAAGACUACUUGGGGAGAAGGAGGCAGUGCCUUGGGGUUAAGAAGAUGGUGCUCCUCCCUCAGGGUAACGGGAGGGGGAGUUCUUGAAUGUCCUGGGGUAUCCAGGUCAGGAGAGAAGAGGACACGACCUGAGCCUCAGCAGGUAGUGGUGAGUUUCAGGCUGCUGAGGCUGUGGCAGAGGGAGUGUUCCGUUCUCUGCCCCACCCCUUUGAAAUACCAGGAGCAGAGCUGACACAGGCUGAAAGGGAAACUCCUAGUUGUGAUGCAGCCAAGAGCCUGUCAGCUUCUGUAGGGGAUUUUCCUUACCCUGAGUGUAUAGAGAGGUGAUGACCACUAGCAGCUGAGAAACCAUAUAGCCGCCUGCGCAGCUGAACAGGCCAGCAGGCAGCCUGCCAUGGAGUCCCACUCCAAGAACUGGUUCUUCUGCUGGGCCUCUGAGCUCCUGGUAUUCAUCAGCCUCUUCCUCAGUGUCUGCAGCACUGAAGCCUACAUUUCUGAAGCACAUGGCUCUGUCUUGGAUGAUUCUAGAAAACCCACUCAUCUGAAGGGGAUCCGAGGUGGUUCUGUCUUGUUUAAUGUGAUCGAGAAGCUCAGAGUAGUUGUAGGAGCCGAGCUGCAGGAGGUUUCAUGGGGUUUAGGCACUGCAAUAAAUCACACACAGGUGCUGGAAAUCCACAGGGGAGCCGACUCUCCAACCUGGUUGAGCCUCCAGGACAAGUUCAAGCAGAGGGUCCAUGUGCCCAGCAUGUGGUCUCUGAGGAUUGAGAACCUGGCCCCUGAAGACAGUGGGCAGUACGUGGCCAUGAUCCACUCAACUCAGGGAAGAACAUAUGCCCAGGUUUUCUACCUCACUGUCUAUGAGCCUGUGCCUCAUCCUGGAAUCCUGGCCAAGUUACUCUCUAUCACACCAGGCUUGUGUAACAUAACCCUGCAGUGCAGAGCUCCAGGGGCCACCGAGGACCUGAAAGUGACCUGGGAGAGCAAGGGCCUCCUCAGAGAGCUGGAGCAGAGAGAAACACCAAGACCCGCCCUGAACCCCUGGACCCUGGCUGUGAGCCUGCCCCUGUGCCAGUGCAACACCCACCUCACCUGUGUGGUCAGCAACCAGGUGGAUAAGAAAGCUGCAAUCUUAGAUCUUAGGGAAGUGUGUGUCCAAGGCCCACCUCCUGAGGGAGCUGUCCAUGGCACCCCACAC